rnacentral:rRNA from 1 species
UGGGGAAUAUUGGACAAUGGGCGCAAGCCUGAUCCAGCCAUGCCGCGUGGGUGAUGAAGGCCCUAGGGUUGUAAAGCCCUUUCGGCGGGGAAGAUAAUGACGGUACCCGCAGAAGAAGCCCCGGCUAACUUCGUGCCAGCAGCCGCGGUAAUACGAAGGGGGCUAGCGUUGCUCGGAAUCACUGGGCGUAAAGCGCACGUAGGCGGCUUGUUAAGUCAGGGGUGAAAUCCUGGAGCUCAACUCCAGAACUGCCUUUGAUACUGGCGAGCUUGAGUCCGGGAGAGGUGAGUGGAACUGCGAGUGUAGAGGUGAAAUUCGUAGAUAUUCGCAAGAACACCAGUGGCGAAGGCGGCUCACUGGCCCGGUACUGACGCUGAGGUGCGAAAGCGUGGGGAGCAAACAG